rnacentral:lncRNA from 1 species
GAGUGUAUUUUAUCAAACUUUUUUUGACUUGCAAAAUAGAAUGGAAUUACUCAAUUUUUUGUUCUCGGAUCGAACAAGUUCAGAUGAUUAAUUGAACUUGAGCUUUCAUUAAUACUAAAGUUCGAAUUCUACUACCAGUUUGAUGACAUAUAUAUUAGGAAUAAAUUCCACGAGGAAACAACACUAUUAUUUGGGAAGAAAGAUUUAAAAUCAUUAAUGGUGUAGUUUGUUUUAGAGAUUAUUUUGCAUUAACUGUUUUUGCUUGUCUUAAACAUGAAGAGUAAAUCAUAACACAAUGGUGCCUUCUGGGUAUUGUGGUGGUGGUGGUGGGAGGUGUGUG